rnacentral:lncRNA from 1 species
UGGCCGUGACUCAUCAUAUAACAAAAAGCAGAAGGCCGGAAGUCUUUUCCUACGCCCAGGAGGUGGACGCUGCCCCCCGGGGGAGUCAAGCGCCGGAAAUAGCAAUUGAACGUUUCCGCCGCUUUCCUGUCAAGUGCUCUUGCUUUUCGCCCUCAAACCUUAUGAAAGUGAUUGAAAGAUCGGUCUGGACAUUUUUUGGCUCCGCCACAGACUAGGGUCCACAGUUAUCUUACCUUUAAGUUCACCCAACUUUUAUUGAACAACUACGACGUGUCGGCGAGCUGCUUUUAAGUUUUUUCUGCUUGCAGUAGCCUUUGAUGGGCAAGCUAAAAUGUGACUUAAGUAUAGACACAAUUAAAAAAAACGUAGCUGACAAUAAGAUACUGACAGGUUCCGAUGAUACUAGCACAUAUAAAAAUGAACAUGAAUGAAUGGAGAAACACUUGAAGCAGGGAUAUGUACUGUGGGCUAUUAUAUCUUAAGUUUUUCUAGGCCUCUUCUGAGCUCCAGGCAUGGGAUAAAGCCCUGAAAAAAAAAUGGGGUAUUCAAAAAGUAAUAAAUGCUAUGAAGAAUACAGGAUAGGAGGAUAAGGAGUUGGGGAGGACAGGUGUGGAAGGUUCAGGCAGGAAAGGAUGAAACCUGAACUGGGGCAGAAGAUGAUAUUGAAAAGUAUUGUUCAACGAUCCCAGUUUUCAAGAACCUAUCAGCUUUUUAAAUAAGCAGCUCCGCUAGACUGCCCUCCUUCGGAGCAGGUUUUUUUUCUUUGUAUCUCCAAUCUCUAGCAUGGCUUCCCAAAACAUAGUAAAUCAUUAAAUGUUUGCUAUUGAGUAAAUACCCGCA